rnacentral:rRNA from 1 species
UACGAACUGUGCAAACGUUAUUCGGAAUCACUGGGCUUAAAGGGUGCGUAGGCGGCUAUUUAAGUAGGGUGUGAAAGCCCCCGGCUCAACCGGGGAAUUGCGUCCUAAACUGGAUAGCUCGAGUGAGAUAGAGGUGUGCGGAACUUCCGGUGGAGCGGUGAAAUGUGUUGAUAUCGGAAGGAACGCCGGUGGCGAAAGCGGCACACUGGGUCUCAACGUGACGCUGAGGCACGAAAGCCAGGGGAGCGAACGGG